rnacentral:rRNA from 1 species
CCUACGGGAGGCAGCAGUGAGGAAUAUUGGUCAAUGGACGAGAGUCUGAACCAGCCAAGUAGCGUGAAGGAUGACUGCCCUAUGGGUUGUAAACUUCUUUUAUAUGGGGAUAAAACGUUCCACGUGUGGGAUUUUGUAUGUACCAUAUGAAUAAGGAUCGGCUAACUCCGUGCCAGCAGCCGCGGUAAUACGGAGGAUCCGAGCGUUAUCCGGAUUUAUUGGGUUUAAAGGGAGCGUAGGUGGAUUGUUAAGUCAGUUGUGAAAGUUUGCGGCUCAACCGUAAAAUUGCAGUUGAAACUGGCAGUCUUGAGUACAGUAGAGGUGGGCGGAAUGCGUGGUGUAGCGGUGAAAUGCUUAGAUAUCACGAAGAACUCCGAUUGCGAAGGCAGUUCACUGGACUGCAACUGACACUGAGGCUCGAAAGUGUGGGUAUCAAACAGGAUUAGAUACCCCUGUAGUC